rnacentral:rRNA from 1 species
CAACUUUCAACAACGGAUCUCUUGGCUCUCGCAUCGAUGAAGAACGCAGCGAAAUGCGAUAAGUAAUGUGAAUUGCAGAAUUCAGUGAAUCAUCGAAUCUUUGAACGCACCUUGCGCUCCUUGGUAUUCCGAGGAGCAUGCCUGUUU